rnacentral:rRNA from 1 species
GACGAACGCUGGCGGCGCGCCUAACACAUGCAAGUCGAACGAGCGAGAGAGAGCUUGCUUUCUUGAGCGAGUGGCGAACGGGUGAGUAACGCGUGAGGAACCUGCCUCAAAGAGGGGGACAACAGUUGGAAACGACUGCUAAUACCGCAUAAGCCCACGGUGCCGCAUGGCACAGAGGGAAAAGGAGCAAUCCGCUUUGAGAUGGCCUCGCGUCCGAUUAGCUAGUUGGUGAGGUAACGGCCCACCAAGGCGACGAUCGGUAGCCGGACUGAGAGGUUGAACGGCCACACUGGGACUGAGACACGGCCCAGACUCCUACGGGAGGCAGCAGUGGGGAAUAUUGCACAAUGGGGGAAACCCUGAUGCAGCGACGCCGCGUGGAGGAAGAAGGUCUUAGGAUUGUAAACUCCUGUUGUUGGGGAAGAUAAUGACGGUACCCAACAAGGAAGUGACGGCUAACUACGUG